UCAAUGGUUAAUCAAGAAAGAUGUUCUUAUUCAGGCUUUUUUUUUUUAAAUAAAGAGUAGGAAGACAAAAUAGUAUUGUAAAGAGAUCAUUGGGGAUUGGGCUCAUUCCUGUCUCUGGGAAUGAGAGUCUUGCUGAAAGAUUUUGGAUGGGGAGAAGCCCCCCUCCCUUCUUUAGGACUUUCAUGUGGUUCAUAAAUACAGGGAUUGACUCUUUUCCUUUUUGUAUUUGUUCUUUUCUGUUCUUUUUAGGUGAGGGUUUAUUGUAAAUCACGAUUUUAUGUUUCAGAAGGUCAGAGUAGUGGGAGCUGGAUUCCAUGCUAGGAUUUGCCAGAUGUCAAGCACAGACAUGAAAGGGACAGGCUAGGAUAGUAGUACAGAAUGGCAUUUCUCUCUACUCCUUGCAAUCAAGAGACUCGCAGGCAAAGAGACAGGUUGGUUCAAGCUUUGUCCUCCAUGAUCAAGAAGAACAAGUCCACUGCUUUCAUGUAAAAGUGUGAGAUGUUGAUUCAACCCUCUUCCAAUUUCCUCCUGGGUCCAUUCCUGACUCUCUGGAUUCUGCACCAUAUUGUCCCAGUCGCCUUUUCACUCUGGAAGAUCCUGCUGUCCCUGAGAAUGCCCCCUCUGAUCUGCAAGUUUCUCCCAGAAACCACAGCUUGAGGAAGAGCCCAACCCAGCCCCACUUAGUCCUUUGCUUCUCUCCCAGCACUACCUUUUCCACCAUGUUUUUCUAGUAGCUUUAUAAACUUUAGAAGCCUAGAGGUCUCAUCCUCUGACUGGUGAGUUCCUCUUAGAACUUCCACUUUGAGGAAGUGCCCAGGUCAGCCAUGCUGAGUCCUUUACUCCUUUCCUGAUUGUUGGAAUUGUAGGAAUUGGACUUCCUAAUUAAUCUGGCAGGUUUUAGUCCAACAUGUGUUAGCCGUGUGAGAUGUCUGCCAAAAAAGCUAAUGUGGUCUCAGGUUGCACUAAGAGAAAUAUAGUAUGUAGGACUAGAGAACAACAUUA